UUUGCUUAAAAGAAGAAAGCUGCAGCUUCACCAGAAAGGAGACGCUACCCACCCCCCACUUCGACGGAGGAAGAUUGCUCUCAGCGCCUGAACUUCUCUUGAGCUAUUUUCAGCUUGGAAUCUCAGUUGUGCUCUUGUCAGUGUGCUCAGGCUUUCUCUUAAAACUUCGUCUCCCCUCUAAUGCAGUGCUGUACGUGGGAGCUUCCUCCAGUUACUUAGCCUUUGAUCCUUCUAAAUAUUUCUAUUUUUUACUGUCGCACUGGGGGUAUAUGAAAGCCUGCACAUACCAGUAGCAUCCGAUACCCAGCAAAUGGAUUGCUGAUGAACUCUCCUUGUUUGCUCUUUAUUCCAGCAUUUAGCUGAGUCCUCAUGCUGUGCACAUGCUUUAUAUAUGUGGGCCCCUCUUUUGGUAAACCACUAAGUGCUCUUUUACAUUAAGCAUGUCUCUAAAGAGAUUGGAGACUGUCUCACUGUCCUAAUGCACCUUCAUUUAGUACUCGAGUUUGGGUGGCUAUUUUUUAAAUAAGUGAAUUAAAAGGAAAUUCACUGGAGUGUAUUGAAAACACCAGUUUUGAUACGAUGUCACAGGUUUUAGAAAAUCCACACACAAAUGGGACAUUGGCCCCUGCUACUCCAGCUUUGCUGAACUCAGGUCAGCUGGGCUUAUUUAUAGUCAUGUUUGGUUAAACUUGGGGUUUUAGCAGUUGUACAUACUUACUUGUAGUGUGCUCUUCUGAACAGGGAUUCAACCAUCCACAUCUUCCCAUCAGCUAUUUCACUUCAUGUAAGCCAAUUACACAGCUGGGGGUUUCCUGGGCAAUAGAGCUACACGUUACUGGAUCUUGGCUUGGGUCACGUAUGCAUUUGGGGUGUUUGACUAGACUGUAAAGAUCAGUAUAGGCUGCCAGGUACUAAGUUGAGCUAGCUUGAUUUAUUUCUUUGUACAUUAGUUUGCACAGUAGCACUAAAUUGAGCAUUGUGCCUUAACCGGUCACAACUUGUUCUGCUUUAUGGUUGCAUGUGCUUGUAGUAUGUACUUGUGUCUGAUACAUAAUGUAUGUCUCGCACAGUAAAUGGAGGGGGGCUUUUAGAAGCUUUAUUGAUGAAAUGUACUGUGUGUAGAAGAUAGUUCCAACUUCAUGUCUAAGAGACAAAACGUUCAAGAAAACACGUGUGACAGAUUUUAGCAUCGUUUCUUUUGGAAAGGUGGGCACCUGUAUGAGACUUUGUAUAUUUAAUCAUCUGUAAAUACUUGCUUCCUGUCGCUCUUGUAUAUUCCAACGUGUGUUUUUUAUACCAAGUAAAUUAAAUCAAUUCAGGAA
ensembl:lncRNA